rnacentral:lncRNA from 1 species
AUUACUACAUCAUCUUCAAACCCAAGGAUUUCUGUUACUCGUUUUGUUAUCCAUGGUUUGAUUACUUCCAGAUUUACUUUGCUCAUGUCCACCUUCUUUUCUAAGCAUUCUGCAAAUUUCAACUGCUUCAACAGCUUCUUCUGCUUAUUGCUGAAGCGAUUGUCCUGCUCUGCACUUGUUCCGCGGAAGAACCCCGCGUCCAUCUUGGCUCCUCCGCCUCCUCCUGGUCGCAGCGCGCUGCCUUCCCGGCGUGCACCGCGCACCCGCGAGCCCCUCGCACGCUCGCCGCGCU